rnacentral:rRNA from 1 species
GAAUAUUGGACAAUGGGCGCAAGCCUGAUCCAGCAAUGCCGCGUGAGUGAUGAAGGCCUUAGGGUUGUAGAGCUCUUUCGCCCGCGACGAUGAUGACGGUAGCGGGAGAAGAAGCCCCGGCUAACUCCGUGCCAGCAGCCGCGGUAAUACGGAGGGGGCUAGCGUUGUUCGGAAUUACUGGGCGUAAAGGGCGCGCAGGCGGCUGCUCAAGUCAGGCGUGAAAGGCCUGGGCUCAACCCGGGAAUUGCGCUUGAGACUGGGCUGGCUUGAGUGCGGGAGAGGAUGGUGGAAUUCCCAGUGUAGAGGUGAAAUUCGUAGAUAUUGGGAAGAACACCGGUGGCGAAGGCGGCCAUCUGGACCGCAACUGACGCUGAGGCGCGAAAGCGUGGGGAGCAAACAGGA